AGAGUUUGAUCCUGGCUCAGGAUGAACGCUAGCUACAGGCUUAACACAUGCAAGUCGAGGGGAAACGAUAGAGAAAGCUUGCUUUUUCUAGGCGUCGACCGGCGCACGGGUGAGUAACGCGUAUCCAACCUGCCCAUCACUUGGGGAUAACCUUGCGAAAGUAAGACUAAUACCCAAUGACGUCUCUAGAAGACAUCUGAAGGAGAUUAAAGAUUUAUCGGUGAUGGAUGGGGAUGCGUCUGAUUAGCUUGUUGGCGGGGUAACGGCCCACCAAGGCGACGAUCAGUAGGGGUUCUGAGAGGAAGGUCCCCCACAUUGGAACUGAGACACGGUCCAAACUCCUACGGGAGGCAGCAGUGAGGAAUAUUGGUCAAUGGACGAGAGUCUGAACCAGCCAAGUAGCGUGCAGGAUGACGGCCCUAUGGGUUGUAAACUGCUUUUAUAAGGGAAUAAAGUGAGUCUCGUGAGACUUUUUGCAUGUACCUUAUGAAUAAGGACCGGCUAAUUCCGUGCCAGCAGCCGCGGUAAUACGGAAGGUCCGGGCGUUAUCCGGAUUUAUUGGGUUUAAAGGGAGCGUAGGCCGGAGAUUAAGCGUGUUGUGAAAUGUAGACGCUCAACGUCUGCACUGCAGCGCGAACUGGUUUCCUUGAGUACGCACAAAGUGGGCGGAAUUCGUGGUGUAGCGGUGAAAUGCUUAGAUAUCACGAAGAACUCCGAUUGCGAAGGCAGCUCACUGGAGCGCAACUGACGCUGAAGCUCGAAAGUGCGGGUAUCGAACAGGAUUAGAUACCCUGGUAGUCCGCACGGUAAACGAUGGAUGCCCGCUGUUGGUCUGAAUAGGUCAGCGGCCAAGCGAAAGCAUUAAGCAUCCCACCUGGGGAGUACGCCGGCAACGGUGAAACUCAAAGGAAUUGACG
rnacentral:rRNA from 1 species